UUCGCUUCUCGGCCUUUUGGCUAAGAUCAAGUGUAGUAUCUGUUCUUAUCAGUUUAAUAUCUUAUACAUCCUCUAUAUGAGGGCUACAUAUUAUAUAGUCGUGGGCUGGAGGUUAGGGAACCAGCCUUGUGACCGGAAGGUCACUGUCACCACUGAAAGAACAACAGCCACAGACUUUAACGUUUAACUUAAA
ensembl:snRNA U2 U2 spliceosomal RNA